AGCUAUGGUAGGUCAGUUGGUAGAGCAUCAGACUUGUAAUCAAGGGUCAUGGGUUUAAAAACCACCCAAGCCA